rnacentral:rRNA from 1 species
UACAGAGGUCUCAAGCGUUGUUCGGAUUCAUUGGGCGUAAAGGGUGCGUAGGCGGCGCGGUAAGUCGGGUGUGAAAUCUCGGAGCUUAACUCCGAAACUGCAUUCGAUACUGCCGUGCUUGAGGACUGGAGAGGAGACUGGAAUUCAUGGUGUAGCAGUGAAAUGCGUAGAGAUCAUGAGGAAGACCAGUGGCGAAGGCGGGUCUCUGGACAGUUCCUGACACUGAGGCACGAAGGUCAGGGGAGCAAACGGG